rnacentral:rRNA from 1 species
GAACGCUGGCGGCGUGCUUCAUACAUGCAAGUCGAACGAUAAGGUCUCUUCGGAGACACAUAAGUGGCGGACGGGUGAGUAAAAUGUAGAGAAUCUGCCCUAGAGAGUGGGACAACAGAGGGAAACUUCUGCUAAUACCGCAUAUGCGCGUACCUGAAAUGGUAUUCGUGAAAACUCCGGUGCUCUGGGAUGAGUCUGCAUCUGAUUAGCUAGUAGGCGGUGUAAUGGACCACCUAGGCGACGAUCAGUAGCUGGUUUGAGAGGAUGAUCAGCCACAAUGGGACUGAGACACGGCCCAUACUCCUACGGGAGGCAGCAGUAGGGAAUUUUGCGCAAUGGGGGAAACCCUGACGCCAGCAACGCCGCGUGAAUGAAGAAGCCCUUCGGGGUGUAAAGUUCUGUCAGUGGGGACGAAACUUGACGGUACCCACAGAGGAAGCAUCGGCUAACUCCGUGCCAGCAGCUGC